GGGAUAGCCCGGAGAAACUCGGAUUAACACCGCAUGACACUGCUUUCCGGCAUCCGGAGGUAGUCAAAUAUUCAUAGGAUAUGGAUGGGCUCGCGUGACAUUAGCUAGUUGGUGGGGUAACGGCUCACCAAGGCGACGAUGUCUAGGGGCUCUGAGAGGAGAAUCCCCCACACUGGUACUGAGACACGGACCAGACUCCUACGGGAGGCAGCAGUAAGGAAUAUUGGUCAAUGGGGGCAACCCUGAACCAGCCAUGCCGCGUGCAGGAUGACUGCCCUAUGGGUUGUAAACUGCUUUUGUUAGGGAAUAAACCCCGCUACGUGUAGCGGGCUGAAUGUACCNNAAGAAUAAGGAUCGGCUAACUCCGUGCCAGCAGCCNCGGUAAUACGGAGGAUCCGAGCGUUAUCCGGAUUUAUUGGGUUUAAAGGGUGCGUAGGCGGCACUUUAAGUCAGGGGUGAAAGACGGCAGCUCAACUGUCGCAGUGCCCUUGAUACUGAAGUGCUUGAAUGCGGUUGAAGACGGCGGAAUGAGACAAGUAGCGGUGAAAUGCAUAGAUAUGUCUCAGAACACCGAUUGCGAAGGCAGCUGUCUAAGCCGUUAUUGACGCUGAUGCGCGAAAGCGUGGGGAUCGAACAGGAUUAGAUACCCUGGUAGUCCACGCCCUAAACGAUGAUGACUCGAUGUUUGCGAUAUACCGUAAGCGUCCAAGCGAAAGCGUUAAGUCAUCCACCUGGGGAGUACGCCCGCAAGGGUGAAACUCAAAGGAAUUCACGGGGGCCCGCACAAGCGGAGGA
rnacentral:rRNA from 1 species